GUAAGGGGAAUAUGAGUGUUUGUUUUUUUGUAGUUUUUCAGUCAAUUGCAUACCGCUUUUAGCUGUACAAAACUUAAACAGUUUUCGUAAAUGCAUUUCAGAGAAAAGUGAAUUCUGAGAUUUGAAUAAUGCAUCUGACGUGUGUGUGAUGACGUCACGACGCACGUAUUUUGAUUUUUACCAGUCGUUCAAGGCGGACGGAUUCAGUCCCAAGAAGCUAAAGUUUUUCAAAGACAUUUGUAGGGAGGACUUUGCAGCUAAUGGAGCUGAAGUAUUUUAUGUAAGGAGGAUUUUGCAGCCCAUAUAGAUUUCCUUAGGCUGAACCAAAACCUGCCAGACUAAAGUUGAUUUGGGAGAGAAAGGCGUUGUAAACUCAAUCAUCUUGACAUUCUUCAAUGAGUAAUUGUUCAAUUUUUAGGCAAAUACUGUACACUUUGAAUGCUGUGAAUAAAACUAUAUUUUAAAUAUAUUUAAAA